AGAGUUUGAUCCUGGCUCAGAGCGAACGCUGGCGGCAGGCUUAACACAUGCAAGUCGAGCGGGCGUAGCAAUACGUCAGCGGCAGACGGGUGAGUAACGCGUGGGAACGUAUCUUUUGGUUCGGAACAACACAGGGAAACUUGUGCUAAUACCGGAUAAGCCCUUACGGGGAAAGAUUUAUCGCCGAAAGAUCGGCCCGCGUCUGAUUAGCUAGUUGGUGAGGUAAUGGCUCACCAAGGCGACGAUCAGUAGCUGGUCUGAGAGGAUGAUCAGCCACAUUGGGACUGAGACACGGCCCAAACUCCUACGGGAGGCAGCAGUGGGGAAUAUUGGACAAUGGGCGCAAGCCUGAUCCAGCCAUGCCGCGUGAGUGAUGAAGGCCCUAGGGUUGUAAAGCUCUUUUGUGCGGGAAGAUAAUGACGGUACCGCAAGAAUAAGCCCCGGCUAACUUCGUGCCAGCAGCCGCGGUAAUACGAAGGGGGCUAGCGUUGCUCGGAAUCACUGGGCGUAAAGGGUGCGUAGGCGGGUCUUUAAGUCAGGGGUGAAAUCCUGGAGCUCAACUCCAGAACUGCCUUUGAUACUGAGGAUCUUGAGUUCGGGAGAGGUGAGUGGAACUGCGAGUGUAGAGGUGAAAUUCGUAGAUAUUCGCAAGAACACCAGUGGCGAAGGCGGCUCACUGGCCCGAUACUGACGCUGAGGCACGAAAGCGUGGGGAGCAAACAGGAUUAGAUACCCUAGUAGUCC
rnacentral:rRNA from 1 species